UACGAAGGGGGCUAGCGUUGCUCGGCAUCACUGGGCGUAAAGGGUGCGUAGGCGGGUCUUUAAGUCCGGGGUGAAAUCCUGGAGCUCAACUCCAGAACUGCCUUUGAUACUGAGGAUCUUGAGUACGGGAGAGGUGAGUGGAACUGCGAGUGUAGAGGUGAAAUUCGUAGAUAUUCGCAAGAACACCAGUGGCGAAGGCGGCUCACUGGCCCGUAACUGACGCUGAGGCACGAAAGCGUGGGGAGCAAACAGG
rnacentral:rRNA from 1 species